GACAGAGGGUGCUAGCGUUGUUCGGAAUUACUGGGCGUAAAGGGCGCGUAGGCGGCUUGUUUAGUCGGGUGUGAAAUCCCGGGGCUCAACCCCGGAACUGCAUUCGAUACUGGCAGGCUAGAGACCGGAAGAGGUGGGUGGAAUACCCAGUGUAGAGGUGAAAUUCGUAGAUAUUGGGUGGAACACCGGUGGCGAAGGCGGCUCACUGGUCCGGUUCUGACGCUGAGACGCGAAAGCGUGGGAGCAACAGG
rnacentral:rRNA from 1 species